rnacentral:rRNA from 1 species
ACGAACGCUGGCGGCGUGCCUAAUACAUGCAAGUCGAGCGAGCUUGCCUAGAUGAAUUUGGUGCUUGCACCAGAUGAAACUAGAUACAAGCGAGCGGCGGACGGGUGAGUAACACGUGGGUAACCUGCCCAAGAGACUGGGAUAACACCUGGAAACAGAUGCUAAUACCGGAUAACAACACUAGACGCAUGUCUAGAGUUUAAAAGAUGGUUCUGCUAUCACUCUUGGAUGGACCUGCGGUGCAUUAGCUAGUUGGUAAGGUAACGGCUUACCAAGGCAAUGAUGCAUAGCCGAGUUGAGAGACUGAUCGGCCACAUUGGGACUGAGACACGGCCCAAACUCCUACGGGAGGCAGCAGUAGGGAAUCUUCCACAAUGGACGCAAGUCUGAUGGAGCAACGCCGCGUGAGUGAAGAAGGGUUUCGGCUCGUAAAGCUCUGUUGGUAGUGAAGAAAGAUAGAGGUAGUAACUGGCCUUUAUUUGACGGUAAUUACUUAGAAAGUCACGGCUAACUACGUGCCAGCAGCC